rnacentral:rRNA from 1 species
GACGAACGCUGGCGGCGUGCUUAACACAUGCAAGUCGAACGGAAAGGCCCUGCUUUUGUGGGGUGCUCGAGUGGCGAACGGGUGAGUAACACGUGAGUAACCUGCCCUUGACUUUGGGAUAACUUCAGGAAACUGGGGCUAAUACCGGAUAGGAGCUCCUGCUGCAUGGUGGGGGUUGGAAAGUUUCGGCGGUUGGGGUUGGACUCGCGGCUUAUCAGCUUGCUGGUGGGGUAGUGGCUUACCAAGGCUUUGACGGGUAGCCGGCCUGAGAGGGUGACCGGCCACAUUGGGACUGAGGUACGGCCCAGACUCCUACGGGAGACAGCAGUGGGGAAUAUUGCCCAAUGGGCGGAAGCCUGAUGCAGCAACGCCGCGUGCGGGAUGACGGCCUUCGGGUUGUAAAACGCUUUCGCCUGUGACGAAGCGUGAGUGACGGUAAUGGGUAAAGAAGCACCGGCUAACUACGUG